rnacentral:rRNA from 1 species
GACGAACGCUGGCGGCAGGCCUAACACAUGCAAGUCGAACGCUCCGCAAGGAGAGUGGCAGACGGGUGAGUAACACGUGGGAAUCUUCCUGUUGGUUCGGAAUAGCUCAGGGAAACUUGGGGUAAUACCGGAUAAGCCCGAGAGGGGAAAGAUUUAUCGCCGACAGAUGAGCCCGCGUCUGAUUAGCUAGUUGGUGAGGUAAUGGCUCACCAAGGCGACGAUCAGUAGCNGGUCUGAGAGGAUGACCAGCCACACUGGGACUGAGACACGGCCCAGACUCCUACGGGAGGCAGCAGUGGGGAAUAUUGGACAAUGGGCGAAAGACCUGAUCCAGCCAUGCCGCGUGAGUGAAGAAGGCCUUAGGGUUGUAAAGCUCUUUCAGGCGGGGAAGNUAAAUGACGGUACCCGCAGAAGAAAGCCCCCGGCUAACUUCGUGCCAG